rnacentral:rRNA from 1 species
GUGGGGUAACGGCCUACCAAGCCUAUUACGAGUAGCUGGCCUGAGAGGGUGGCCAGCCAGAGGGGGACUGAGACACGGCCCCCACUCCUACGGGAGGCAGCAAUCAGGAAUAGUCGGCAAUGGACGAAAGUCUGACCGCGCGACGCCGCGUGUAGGAAGAAGCUCUUCGGAGCGUAAACUACUGUGGUAAGGGAAGAAGACCUCCGAAUCGGAGGUUUGACGGUACCUUACUAGAAAGGGGCCGCUAACUGCGUGCCAGAAGCGUCGGUAAUACGUGGACCCCAAACAUUAUCCGGUUUUACUGGGUAAAAAGUAGUGUAGGUGUUCUGAUAAGUCUCAAUUUAAAUACUAUGACUCAAUCAUAGGACAGGUUGGGAUACUGACAGAAUAGAAUUUUCUUUAGGGAGACUGGAACUUAGGGAGGAGUAGUGAAAUGCGUUGAUACCCUAGGGAACACUCGUGGCGAAGGCGAGUCUCUGAAAGAAAAUUGACACUGAGACACGAAAGCUAGGGGAGCGAAGCAGAUUAGAGACCUGCGUAGUCCUAGCCUUAAACGCAUGCUUGCUAGCUGCAUUAUUUCGAUUUAUCGAUAUGGUGUGGCGAAGGUAACCCGUUAAGCAAGCCACCUGGGGAGUACGGCCGCAAGGUUGAAACUCAAAGGAAUUGGCGGGGAGGCACACAACCAGUGGAACAUGUGGUUCAAUUCGAAACGAACCGAAGAACCUCACCAAGGUUUGACAUCCAAGCGUCCUAUUUCAUGGAAACAUGGAAAAUUCGUAAGAAGGCUUGGACAGGUGCUGCAUGGCUGUCGUCAGCUCGUUCCGUGAGGAGUGCCCUUAAGUGGGACAACGAGCGCAACCCCCAUCCUGUGUUAAAUAUGUCACAGGAAACUGCCUCGAUAUUCAUCGAGGAGGAAGGAGGGGCAGACGUCAAGUCAGCAUGGUCCUUAUACCUUGGGCUACACACAUGUUACAAUGGACAAUUACAACGGGCUUUGCGAGACCGCAAGGUUAUGCAAAUCCCUUAAAGUUGUCCUCAGUGGGGAUUGAGGUCUGCAACCCGACCUCAUGAACGCGGAAUUGGUAGUAAUCGCAGAUCAGCUAUGCUGCGGUGAAUACGUUCUUGCCUCUUGCACACACCGCCCGUCAAGCCAACAAAGUCGGGAAAAUUUGAACCCUCCGAUUCGGAGGGGAGGAUUUCUCCGGCGAUGGGGGUUAAGUCGUAACAAGGUA